rnacentral:rRNA from 1 species
GAUGAACGCUGGCGGUAUGCUUAACACAUGCAAGUCGAACGGACUCUUCGGAGUUAGUGGCGGACGGGUGAGUAACGCGUGAGAAUCUGGCUUUGGGUUCGGGACAACCACUGGAAACGGUGGCUAAUACCGGAUGUGCCGAGAGGUAAAAGAGAAAUUGCCUGAAGAUGAGCUCGCGUCUGAUUAGCUAGUUGGUGAGGUAAAGGCUCACCAAGGCAGCGUUCAGUAGCUGGUCUGAGAGGAUGACCAGCCACACUGGGACUGAGACACGGCCCAGACUCCUACGGGAGGCAGCAGUGGGGAAUUUUCCGCAAUGGGCGAAAGCCUGACGGAGCAAUACCGCGUGAGGGAAGAAGGCUCUUGGGUUGUAAACCUCUUUUCUUAGGGAAGAACAAAAUGACGGUACCUAAGGAAUCAGCAUCGGCUAACUCCGUG